CUGAAUAAGCGGGCCUUGAUCCCGCAAAAAUUAGUUAACAGCUAAUUACCCUAACCAGCGGGCUUCUACUCG
rnacentral:tRNA from 1 species